rnacentral:rRNA from 1 species
UGGGGAAUAUUGGACAAUGGGCGCAAGCCUGAUCCAGCCAUGCCGCGUGAGUGAUGAAGGCCCUAGGGUUGUAAAGCUCUUUCACCGGUGAAGAUAAUGACGGUAACCGGAGAAGAAGCCCCGGCUAACUUCGUGCCAGCAGCCGCGGUAAUACGAAGGGGGCUAGCGUUGUUCGGAUUUACUGGGCGUAAAGCGCACGUAGGCGGACUUUUAAGUCAGGGGUGAAAUCCCGGGGCUCAACCCCGGAACUGCCUUUGAUACUGGAAGUCUUGAGUAUGGUAGAGAUGAGUGGACUUCCGAGUGUAGGGGUGAAAUUCGUAGAUAUUCAGAGGAACACCGGUAGCGAAGGCGGCUCACUGGACCAUUACAGACGCUGAAGUGCGAAAGCGUGGGGAGCAAACAGG